rnacentral:rRNA from 1 species
AGCGAACGCUGGCGGCGUGCUUAACACAUGCAAGUCGAGCGGAAAGGCUCCUUCGGGGGUACUCGAGCGGCGAACGGGUGAGUAACACGUGAGUAAUCUGCCCUGGACUCUGGGAUAGCCACCGGAAACGGUGAUUAAUACCGGAUAUGACCACUUUAGGCAUCUGAGGUGGUGGAAAGUUUUUCGGUCCAGGAUGUGCUCGCGGCCUAUCAGCUUGUUGGUGAGGUAAUGGCUCACCAAGGCUUUGACGGGUAGCCGGCCUGAGAGGGUGACCGGUCACACUGGGACUGAGACACGGCCCAGACUCCUACGGGAGGCAGCAGUGGGGAAUAUUGGACAAUGGGCGGAAGCCUGAUCCAGCAACGCCGCGUGAGGGAUGACGGCCUUCGGGUUGUAAACCUCUUUCAGUACCGACGAAGCGAAAGUGACGGUAGGUACAGAAGAAGGACCGGCCAACUACGUGCCAGCCGCCGCGGUAA